AGAGGCCACUGUGAGGCCAAUCAAAAGUACUUGAGGAACUCUUUUUCUCUCUCUCCCGGUACGAAAGUCACACGGGUAAAACCUAGUGUAACUAUGCAGAGUGAGAGAGUUUUGCUCAGUCACACUGUUUAAACAUUUCCACCUUGCUAAAGAAUAGACUUAAUACCUUGAACCUGGUCCGCUGGCCAGCCCGAGUCUGCUUCUGCACUGGCAUGAUCUUUAGAACCUCAUCCUUUAGGGAUGCGCCCAGGAAAAAGUCAAUGAUCUCGGAUUCCUAAAACAGGAAAUUGUGGGAAACCUGUUCAGAGCUUCCUGUCAUUAGACAGAAAAGGACUACUGCAAGUCGUCCUCACUUCAUCCCCUGAUAACGGAUGUGGCAGCAAGCACAAGUGGCCAUCUAGAGAGCAACCUUCCCACCCAAACAAUGUUCCAGCACCGAGGUGUCUGUACCUUAAUGGGAAGGGAGAACAGGUAGAUCUCCUCCAGGGACUUGAUCUUCAUGUCCUUAACCAGGCGGCCCAGCUUGGUGACGGGGAUCCACUGCAGGAAGACAUCAGUGAAAAGGCGGCUUCACGCAGAGCGCGCGCCGACCCCGCCCGCGGCCCAGGACCUACCUCCUUGUCUUCAGCUUUACCUCCACGAGCCCCGCGGCCUCGGCCACGGCCACGGCCACGACCACGACCGCGGCCCCUAAGGCCGCUGCCGAAUCCUCCGCGGAAGCCGCCGCGGCCUCCUAGUCCCGGGCCCCCGGGUCCUCCGGGCCCUCCCGCUGCACCGGCGUCGUCCGCCAUUUGCUACAGAGACAAAAGGAAGCAAAUCAGCAGAGUCCUAUGCUCUGCGGCCACUUGGGGUUCCCAUACGGGACCCCCCGCCCAAGCGUGUCCCCGUGCGGAUGUCCACGGAUCUCCACGGCCCAGGCCCCAAAGCCAGAAUCCUGUAACACAAACUCACGUGUUUUCCCGAAGAAGAAGAAGAGCGAGACUGCGCGGAAGGGGGUUCUUAUAGUGCACCAAAGCGCCGCGAUAUCUCGACUGCCCGCGCAGCUCGCCCGCAGGCUGUAAUUGGCUGCGUGUUGUCCCGCCCCCGCCACGUUCUUCCUGCGCCUGCGCACAUUCUCUCGCCGAAGCCGAAACCUACGCCGCCUGGAAGGGACUAUAAAAGCUCUGACCGGCGCCUUUCAGGCCUGCUAGUGAUCGUGAGUGCGUGGUGCUGCUUCCCGGCCCAGGUUCCACUGGAUCUGGAGGCGGCCGCCGCUUCGUCCACGGAAAUGGCAGGGUUCGGGUGUUCACUUCUCUCAAAUAAAAUGGUUUAACUUAA